GACGAACGCUGGCGGCGUGCUUAACACAUGCAAGUCGAACGGAAAGGCCCUGCGUUUGUUGGUUGCUCGAUUGGCGAACGGGUGUGUAUCACGUGAGUAACCUGCCCUUGUCUUUGUGAUAACUUCAGGAAACUGGGGCUAUUACCGGAUAUAAGCUCCUGCUCCAUGGUGUGGGUUGGAAAGUUUCGGCGGUUGGGGAUGUACUCGCUGCUUAUCCGCUUGUUGGUGAGGUAGUGGCGUACCAAGGCUUCGAGGGGUAGCCGGCCUGAGAGGGUGACCGGCGACAUGGGGACUGAGAUACGGACCAGAAUCGUAUGGGAGGCAGCAGGGGGGAAUCUUGCAGAAUAGGCGGAAGCCUGAUGCAGCAACGCCGCGUGCGGGAUGACGGCCUUCGGGGGGUAAACAGAUUUCGACUGAGACGAAGCGAGCGUGACGGUACUGGGUAAGAAAGCACCGGCUAACUACGUG
rnacentral:rRNA from 1 species